CGCACAUUGCGCCCGCCAGUACUCUGGCGGGCAUGCCUGUCCGAGCGUCAUUUCGACCCCUCAAGCCCCGCUUGGUGGUGGGACCCUACGCGCGACGUAGGUCCCGAAUUCCAGUGGCGGGCUCGCCGUGCGUCCCGAGCGUAGUAGUACUACCCCGCUCUGGGCGCGCGCGGCGGGCGCCUGCCGUGAAAGAAUGACGGAAACGACACCAGGUUGACCUCGGAUCAGGUAGGAAUACCCGCUGAACUUAA
rnacentral:misc_RNA from 1 species